rnacentral:rRNA from 1 species
GUGGGGAAUAUUGGACAAUGGGCGAAAGCCUGAUCCAGCCAUGCCGCGUGUGUGAAGAAGGUCUUCGGAUUGUAAAGCACUUUAAGUUGGGAGGAAGGGCAUUAACCUAAUACGUUAGUGUUUUGACGUUACCGACAGAAUAAGCACCGGCUAACUUCGUGCCAGCAGCCGCGGUAAUACGAAGGGUGCAAGCGUUAAUCGGAAUUACUGGGCGUAAAGCGCGCGUAGGUGGUUCGUUAAGUUGGAUGUGAAAGCCCCGGGCUCAACCUGGGAACUGCAUCCAAAACUGGCGAGCUAGAGUACGGUAGAGGGUGGUGGAAUUACCUGUGUAGCGGUGAAAUGCGUAGAUAUAGGAAGGAACACCAGUGGCGAAGGCGACCACCUGGACUGAUACUGACACUGAGGUGCGAAAGCGUGGGGAGCAAACAGGAUUAGAAACCCUUGUAGUCC